CAGGAAGUCCAGCUUGGCAAGAUACGUCAGCUGGGCAGGGGAGAAGGAGGCAUGUGGCACGGAGGAGACCAACGAUGCAAAGGCCAUGCAAGGGUUUGGGGAAGAGAACAGAUGGGAAGACAAAAAACAUGUGGCCCCAUAAACAUGAGCUGGCUUCUGCAAUCCCGCCAUUAAGGACACUGGAAACAUAGCUAAGAAUGCUCCAGCACUUCCACAACUGUCCUUGGUGUAGAAGAUCUUUGGUGUAGAGUACCUUUGCCACCUCCUGGAUCCUUACAGACCCACACGUGUCUUGUGUUUGGAUUUUAAUAGAUCUAAGCGUAAGAAUUAUGUUUGCAGAUUCCCAGGAGCUGAUAUGUCUAGAGGGAAGGGUCUCUGCAGAGCGGUUUCAAUGGAGGCAUGCUGCCAGGAGUUGGGAGCUCCUUGUGAAUGACUGCGAUUUCCCUUCGGGCCCUCCUGUUUCUGCCAAAUUUGAAGUGGAUUUUCUGCAAGUGAGAAGCAAACAUGGCCCCUUUCCAACAGGACAAUGUCUGGGAGGGCGUCUGAUGAGAAAAACUUUGCGGAGGCCUUUCAAAGCAUCUUCAAAAAUCCCCUCCUGUAGGGGAUUUCUCGUAGUGAAGGAAGCCAUUAGCUAGGCACAGGAGGCAUUUACUUAGUUAUCUAAUCUUUCUAAUCCCCAAAUUACAUUAGAGGGAAUGAUCCAUCUUUUACUAUUUCUAAAAUGACUCUGGUCCCUCAGUACAUUGUUGUGCACAGUGAAAAAAACACGUGGGCAGCAGGAUCUGCUUACUAUUUAAUCUAGCCUUCAAUUUUUGAUAAAAACACCUCUCCUUCUGCUUUUACUGCAUUACUUUUUAAAUGCAGUAAAUGCAUUUGUCGUCUUUCUUCCUGUUCAACACACUGAUAUUUGUAGGCAGCUAUUUUGUACUCCAGUUGUCACGUUCAGCCAAGUUACUCAUACAUCAAAUGCAUCCAACCUGAGCUCACAAGUCAGCUUUGAAUCUUUAAGGAUUUCUGUUGUUCAUUUCUUAAUCUGUCUCCACUAGAUCUACGUUGUUUAAACACUGAAGUAUCCUGAAAUUAAUAUGAUAUAUCAAGCACGAUCCCUCCAGACUUUAGUAGAGGAGGAUUGCUGUCUGCCUGGUCUGUGCUGGGGACUUGGCUCUACAGAGCAGGAAAUACAAAGGGAAGGGACAAGGGGAAAUGGUUUCAAACUAAAAGAGGGAAGAUUUAGAGUGGAUGUAAGGAAAAAGGUUUUUACUAUAAGGGUGGUGAGGCACUGGCACAGGUUGACCAGAAAUAUAUAGGGGAUGUCUUUGGAGACUUCCAAGGUCAGGCUGGAUGGGGAUCUGAGCAACCUGUUCUAGCUGUAGUUGUCCCUGUUCAUUGCAGGGGGGUUAGACUGGAUAAGCUUUAAGGAUCCCUACCAACUCAAAUGGUUGUACUGCUAUGAAAUACAGCUUCACUCUACAUGAAGGCCUGGAAGUUCUAGCGAACGGGGGUGGAUGCUGAAGGUCCUUUCACAGCUGACCCUGUGCCUGCGAGCAGUGUGCUGGGUGCUUCAGCCUGCUUCUGGGCGCUGACCAAGGCUGUAACUUGCUCCUUGUUUCAGCGCAGCUGGGAGGUAUUUCCCAAACACGGCGGACUACCAGUACAGAGAAUCUGCAGAGCUGUGGCUCAGUUCUUUAGAAAAAUCUCUUUUCUGCUGUCAGUGAGCCCAGUGGUUCCAGACAGAGAGCUGUGGACUUCUGAAUUGGUGAGUGGCUUCAAGGGGACAUGCAACUCUGAGAAGCGAGAGCAUUGACACCCGCUGACAACUGCACCACUGGAGUCUGGAGCUGAAGUGGAGAAGUUUGAGGGCUGCAGAUCACAAAGGGCUGAAAACAGCAGCUGUUGUUUAAUCUCCAUGAAGCAUUUUUCUUCGGUGCCUGGAAUCUUGGAAUAAAAGUAUUUUAGUUACCUUUCCCUAUAUAUAUUUGCCAGGAGCUUAAAUUUCCAGUGUUAGAUUUAUUAAUUUCCCGAAACCCCACACAUUAUUUCUCCACACUCACUGCUGCCUCUGCUCCAUCCAGACUCUAUGUCAUCUAGGAGUUCCACCAACCAAGCCUUGGGAAUGAAAUGAAUUCACCUCUCCCAGCCUGGGGCAUGCGGGGCUGCUCGUGUGCUGCCCAUAGACACACAGUUCACUUUACACUCAUGAGGAACCUCUCUUCACCCAGCAUCUCAGUGAUUUGCAGAGAAAAAAAAUUACAGGCAUGCUUUACGGAUGAAAAAGAUGAAGCCAUCUGAACAGCAGGCUCCCUGUCUGGUGCUAUUUGUUGCUUAAAUCUAAGAAUGAUACAUGGCAUUAUAAAUACCUCCAGUACUGUCAUUUUGGAGCACAUGCUAAGGGUGGAAUAAGGCCAGAAACCUCAUUCUCUUUCAGAACUUUCCUUCCAGUUAUAUCUUCACUCAUUUCUGAAGUUAUUUCUCUGCCUACUGACUUUGAGUAACACAGUGUGGGAUAGCCCUGUUCUUUCCUAGACCAUGUAAGAAAGCAUGUGGGAAAAUGUAUAAUUCCACAGCAUCUCAUUACGUGUCUAAAAACCUACUGGAUUCCCAUUCUCUCUGUUUCUGUUUGCCUCUAUAGCAAACAAACAAAGCUUUAACAUUUUGAUUGAUGAUGGCUAGGCCAAGUCUGAUGUAGUCAGCGAUCCUGUUGGUUGGACUCCACAGCAUGGACCAGAAGCACGUCUCAAGACAGCAUUAACUAAAGUGAAUGUGGUUCUCUUCUCCAUUAGGUCUCAAAUCUCUGUGACCAAAACCAAAGCUGAAUGUAAAAAAUUUCCAGAAACACUACUGGAAAUUACUGAUUAGCUGACUGGGAAGGGAGAAAGUACCACCACACCUCACCAAGCAUUUAAUGACUUACCGUCCCCAGGAUUGUUUUGGGGGCAGGAGAACCUCUGGGCUAUUCUUAUCCUAUAAGAGCUUUUUAAAUAACCACUUCUUACUGUCAUUAAUUUUUAAAUACAUUGUUAUAUGGAUGCCCAUCAUCUCCUUUUAAUAGCUUUUCUUUUCAUAGCAGACAAGUAGUAUGCUCACAGCUUGCAUAUUGUAGAAUCACACAAUCACUACAGUUGGAAAAGACCUCUCAGAUCACCCAGUCCAACCAUCAGCCCACCCCCACCAUGCCCACUGACCACGUUGCUCAGUGCCACAUCCACACGGUUCUGGAACACCUCCAGGGACGGUGACCGCACCACCUCCCUGGGCAACUAUGCCACUGCCUCACCGCUUUUUGUGAGGUGAAAUUCUUCCUAACACACAGUCUGAACCUCACCUGGUGCAACUUGAGGCCAUCACCUCGACCCUAUCACUGUUACCUGGGAGAAGAGGCCGACGCCACCUCCCCACAAUUUCCCUUCAGGCUGGUAAAGAGAGUGAUAAGGUCUGCCCUGAGCCUCCUCCAGACUGAACAACCCCAGUUCCCUCAGCUGCUCCCCAUAAGACUUGUGCUCCAGACCCCUCACGGCUCCGCUGCCCUUCUCUGGACACACUCAACGUCUUUCUUGUAGUGAGGGGCACACGGCAGUCUAGAUGUGGCCUCGAGAUGGAGACGGAAGCACCGCAUUACAGCGGGACGGCAAGGAGCGCAGACCUCACGGCGUUUACUAGGCGGCAGCCGACUGCAGUCCGCCCGUGAACGUUUCCGCGGGCGGCUGGACGCCCGCACGGCCACGGCCGGCUCCCAGGAAGCGGUUCCCGCUGGCCGUGUCCGCACAGUUCGGAAAAUCGGAGCUCCCGCGGCAGUACCCCGACCUCCCCAAGCUCCUCACCCACGACCCAAACCCGAG
ensembl:lncRNA